rnacentral:rRNA from 1 species
AUUGAACGCUGGCGGCAGGCUUAACACAUGCAAGUCGAGCGGGGUGAUGGUGCUUGCACUAUCACUUAGCGGCGGACGGGUGAGUAAUGCUUAGGAAUCUGCCUAUUAGUGGGGGACAACAUCUCGAAAGGGAUGCUAAUACCGCAUACGUCCUACGGGAGAAAGCAGGGGAUCACUUGUGACCUUGCGCUAAUAGAUGAGCCUAAGUCGGAUUAGCUAGUUGGUGGGGUAAAGGCCUACCAAGGCGACGAUCUGUAGCGGGUCUGAGAGGAUGAUCCGCCACACUGGGACUGAGACACGGCCCAGACUCCUACGGGAGGCAGCAGUGGGGAAUAUUGGACAAUGGGGGGAACCCUGAUCCAGCCAUGCCGCGUGUGUGAAGAAGGCCUUAUGGUUGUAAAGCACUUUAAGCGAGGAGGAGGCUCUUUUGGUUAAUACCCAAGAUGAGUGGACGUUACUCGCAGAAUAAGCACCGGCUAACUCUGUGCCAGCCGCCGCCGUAAGAC